CCAAACUGUUGCCUCGGCGGGAUCUCUGCCCCGGGUGCGUCGCAGCCCCGGACCAAGGCGCCCGCCGGAGGACCAACCAAAACUCUUAUUGUAUACCCCCUCGCGGGUUUUUUUAUAAUCUGAGCCUUCUCGGCGCCUCUCGUAGGCGUUUCGAAAAUGAAUCAAAACUUUCAACAACGGAUCUCUUGGUUCUGGCAUCGAUGAAGAACGCAGCGAAAUGCGAUAAGUAAUGUGAAUUGCAGAAUUCAGUGAAUCAUCGAAUCUUUGAACGCACAUUGCGCCCGCCAGUAUUCUGGCGGGCAUGCCUGUCCGAGCGUCAUUUCAACCCUCGAACCCCUCCGGGGGGUCGGCGUUGGGGAUCGGCCCUCCCUUAGCGGGGUGGCCGUCUCCGAAAUACAGUGGCGGUCUCGCCGCAGCCUCUCCUGCGCAGUAGUUUGCACACUCGCAUCGGGAGCGCGGCGCGUCCACAGCCGUUAAACACCCAACUUCUGAAAUGUUGACCUCGGAUCAGGUAGGAAUACCCGCUGAACUUAAGCAUAUCAAUAAGCGGAGGAAAG
rnacentral:rRNA from 1 species